rnacentral:rRNA from 1 species
AUGGUCGCGGACGCAUGCUUCUCGGCGCGUCCCUCGGACAUCGUCAUUGCCACAAUGCCGAAGUCCGGCACAACGUGGAUAAAAGCAAUGCUUUACUCCACGGUGCACAGAAAGACCGCCGCCGAUUUUUUCUGUGAUGGUGUGACGUUGUUCGGGCCGUACUGGGAUCAUGUCCUCGGGUACUGGCGGGCUCAUCAGGUGCACCCUCAGAAGGUUCUCUUCUUCAGGUACGAAGAGAUGAUUGGGGACCCUGCGGCACACGUGCGGAAGCUGGCGCAAUUCGUUGGCCGCCCGUUCUGCAUGGAGGAGGAAGAGGCUGGCGCGGUAGAAGCCAUCGUAAGGUUGUGCUCGUUUGAGCACAUGACUGGGCUCGACGUGGCCAAGCAUGGCGUGACAGAGCUCGUUGUCAGCAUGGCGGAGAAUAGUUGGUUCUUCCGGCGUGGCCAGGUCGGGGACUGGGAGAACUAUCUGUCGCGAGAGACGGCAAGGAGGAUCGACGCCAUUACCGAGGCCAGGUUCAAGGGUUCUGGCCUCCGUGUAUAGCCGGUCAUGGUGUAA